rnacentral:rRNA from 1 species
GAUGAACGCCGGCGGCGUGCCUAACACAUGCAAGUCGAGCGAUUCUCUUCGGAGAAGAGCGGCGGACGGGUGAGUAACGCGUGGGUAACCUGCCCUGUACACACGGAUAACAUACCGAAAGGUAUGCUAAUACGAGAUAAUAUACUUUUAUCGCAUGGUAGAAGUAUCAAAGCUCCGGCGGUACAGGAUGGACCCGCGUCUGAUUAGCUAGUUGGUAAGGUAACGGCUUACCAAGGCGACGAUCAGUAGCCGACCUGAGAGGGUGAUCGGCCACAUUGGAACUGAGACACGGUCCAAACUCCUACGGGAGGCAGCAGUGGGGAAUAUUGCACAAUGGGCGAAAGCCUGAUGCAGCAACGUCGCGUGAGUGAUGAAGGCCUUCGGGUCGUAAAGCUCUGUCCUCAAGGAAGAUAAUGACGGUACUUGAGGAGGAAGCCCCGGCUAACUACGUGCCAGCCGCCGCGGUAA